GCUCACUACUGCCUGUCAAACAUCCUAAUGGAUUAUUGCUCCUCUCCAUCAACCCCCAUCUGAGGACCUAGCCAGCAGAAUGCUAAAACACCCAAUCCACACAGGCACCUUGAGAACUAAUAAUGGCUGCUAUUUGAAGACACUGACUUUUGGGGUGCCUUGUUAGGCAGAAUUAUUGUGACAACAGUUCAAUAAUACCUCACAACUUUCAGACCUUUCCUGGAGAGACCCAAAUAUGGGUCACCUAGAUACUGACAGUUCACUCAUUUAUUCGAUUAAUAAUUAUUGAGUACCUGUCAUGCUUGAGUCACUGUGCUAGUGAGAAAUCAGUACACUGUCUACCAUAUAGGCAUUCACUUAUUCUACAAAUAUUUAUUGAGCACCACCUGCUUACAUAGCACUGUCCAAGGUGCUAGGGAGGGUACAAAGGAAGACAGCAGACAAGC
rnacentral:lncRNA from 10 species